CGCAGCUAACGCAUUAAGCGCCCCGCCUGGGGAGUACGGCCGCAAGGCUAAAACUCAAAGGAAUUGACGGGGUCCCGCACAAGCGGCGGAGCAUGCGGAUUAAUUCGAUGCAACGCGAAGAACCUUACCUGGUCUUGACAUGUCAAGAAGUCUGCAGAGAUGCGGAUGUGCCUUCGGGAACUUGAACACAGGUGCUGCAUGGCUGUCG
rnacentral:rRNA from 16 species